rnacentral:lncRNA from 10 species
GUUUGAUCUCAGACUGCUGUGCUAGCAAUCAGCGAGACUCCGUGGGCGUAGGACCCUCCUAGCCAGAUACAAAAAGAAAAAUUACUGUCAUGUGAUGUGUGAUCCAUGAUACCGUCAUAGUUUUGUUUUGCUGUGCUCCACCUUCAUACCUUCGCCUAUGUUAGAACUUCUGAGAAGCUGAAGCAUCACAUAUAAAAAGCCAAGACCAUCCUCAAGGAGUUUAAUGAAUGUGGCAUCACAAGAAAAAUAUGCAUCAACAUUGAAAAGAAAAGAAAUAAAAUUCCAUUAACAGAGCUUGAGGAAGUGGACUUGACUAAGCUGGAGUAAGGAGUGCAGAGAGUGAGGAGACAGGAUGCGAAACAAGAGGUCCCACAAUAGGCUGUCUGCAAGUUUGAGGAGCAAGGAGAGCCAUCCCAUGUCUCAAAACUGAAGAACUU